GGGUCUACGUGACUCUCGGCAGAGCGUAGAUGGCUUACAUUUGUCGAGAACGUUUUGCCACUGCAUUUUGUUUUUGUUUUGCCGCACUCACAUAUACUGUGUAUGUACUUUUCAUUAUGUACUAUAUUUACAGCCGGAAAGAGUGACAUCUUUUUAGACGUUUUGUAGCCGCGCGUUGGUUGAGUAGGAACGAGCGUACGAACGCACGCACGACGUGCGCGUUUGUGUGAGCCGAAUGCCGGGCAGUUCAGCUGACGACACGGCCGUACGGACUUACAGAACGCCGUCUGCAGCGUCAGCCGCUGUUGUAAAACUGCAAAAUUACGAGAUAAAAUAAAAAGUUGCAGCAAAAAUAAUUUACUAAAAUUUUUUAAUAAAAAUGUGAUUGCUUACUUGUUGGUGUUGUAGUGCGAUAAACGCUCCCUUUGCGCCGCUUGCCGUGAACUCAUAAUUCGACUGUGAUAUUUUUUUUUAUAUUUUUUUUUUUUCGCUUUUGAUUUUAUUUUUUCGAUUUUUGUUUGCUGUUGAAAGUUAAUACAAACAGGAUGCGAAAUCAAUAUAUCAAGCUCAAGUCGCAGUGAAAAACGAAAAACGGGUUUGCAGGCAAAGUGCGGGUGAAAGCGUAAAACCGACACUACAACAACUGCAAAGCAGCGACGUUUGCAAUAAAAAAAGUAAACAUUAAAGUAAUUGUGCUAAUCAUAAUAAUCAUUAUAAGUGCGAUUACAGGCAGACAGACAUACAAACUUGUACAUUUGUAUGUAUGGAUAUGAAUAUGAAUAUCUUGACAUCUUUGCAGUCUAAAUGGGGGCUUGUCGCCGCUAUCAGCUCGACCAGUCAACGUUGGCAUUUAAUAGGCAGGUUUUAUUUAUCGCUUAGUGACCUUGCUUCGCAUGCUUUAUUAAGAUUUUUUAGUAGAAAAUAUGUAUGUAUAUGUACUCAAAAAAAAUUUGUGGAAAUUGCUAUGUCCUUAGAAAUUUUUGAAAUCUUCUAAAAAAUAAACGGCAAAAAUCUUCAAUUUAACAUUUAUGCCAUACAAUAUACAAUUUUAUGGGAUUUUGAAUUUUAAAAAUUCAAUAUUAUAACUAAAUUUUUUUUUUAGCGAAAUACGAAAUCUGCUUAAAAAACCCUUAUUUAUAAUUUGCGAAAGACUAUCAAUUUCGUUUGGCAAUGCAUUUUGCCGUGUGUAAGAGAAAUACACAAAAAAAUUGUAUUUUAUUACUAAAAAUUUUCAACCGAUUUUCAAUUUUGAGUAAACUUUAUUUUUUUUUUCAACAAAGUUUGUAAUUCAUCUAGUAUAAUUAAUUACAAUAAAAAUAUCUUGGUCUAACAACUUCUUCUGCUGAAACUCAAAUACGUAAAAUUUAAAUAUUUCUAUAUGGAAAAGUAAAGAAAUCUCCAGUUUAUCUACCCAAUAUUUCUUUAAAAACAAGAGUAAAGAAAUUUCUAAUUAUUCAAAUAUAAUUUAUAUAAUCUUUAUAUGGCAAAUCCACAUAUUUUUCGUAUAAGAAAUUAUAGAAAUGUCCAGUUUAUUUAUCAAACACACUUUCUAUGGAAAGUUAAAACAAUAUCUAGUUUGUCUAUUGCUGUUAUUCAUCAGCUGAUAUUAGCUAUAACUCUUUUCGUCUGCAACAAGUUUUUGUUUGAAAGACAACUAAACUACUUUAUAAGCUUCCAUACAUAAGGUGAUUCAUAGCGAGGUUCUCUAAUUUUUAUAAAGAAAACACACAGACACUUCAAACUUAAUCUGGAAUGUUUAUUAUCAUACGAAAGAACAUUAUUUGGCAUUUAUUUUUUGAUUUCUCUUUCAAAUGUUGGCCGAGGCUACGUCUCAGAUCGUCAAUCUGUUAAGUCCAAUUUUCGAUGACUUGCUCGAAUUGCUCGCGUAAUGUUAUGCUCCAAGGCCUGAAUCGAAGCGAGAUUAUCCGCAUAGCCUUAAAUUUUAUAGAGAAAUAGAUAAAAGUUAAGAAAUAAUAUAUAAAAAAUAAAUAGAAAACAAAUUUUAAAAAGAAAUUAAAUUUUACGAAGAAGUCUCCAGAAAAAUCUAGAAGCGUGCUAAAAGACUAUAUAAGUACAUAUGUAUGUAUGUAUACAUUUCUUGCAACUACGUUUAUACGAAAUUACGACUAUAAUACUUAGUAAAUGCAGGUAAAUAGUAACGCAUUGGAGUUAUAAUAAUAAAGUGGCACAGAAAAAUGAAAGAUCAUUAUUUUCUUCUAAUUUUAUUUAAUAAAUAUUUAUAUUCAAGUUCAAAACCCCGAACUUGCUCAUAUAAAAAAAUAUUUUAAAAUGCAUAAAUAAUGGAAAAUAUAUAUUUUAAGCAUUUGCGUUAGGAAUGGCAACAUAAAAUAAUAAUUAGCAUUAAAAAGUAUAUGUACACAAAAAAAAAUAAAUAAAAUUGCAAAAACACUAAAAAUUACAAAAAAUAAGUGUAUUUUUAUUUCGACUUUCAAUUAUUGUCAUAAAAAACCAAAUUCGGAAAGAGAUUUUUCUCGAAACUUCGCAUGUUUUACUAACUGCAAGCGCUGCUGCCGCUAAUGCACAUACAUAUUACAUACAUAUAUUUAUGUAUGUAUGUAUGCGAGAGUGCAUAUAUUUAACUAUGUGUGGUUAUGUAGCAGUAAAUGCACAGCAAACACCGUGCAACACGAGGCAGCAAUGUGUAGUGACACCGUCUUUGCCAGAUAGCUAGCUGAGCUUAAAGCAAACAAAUUUCGGCUAUUGUUUUCAAUUCCUGGAUGGUACAUUAAUAGUCACGUAUGGAACGUGACCAUCACAGUGAUAAGAGACUGCAAGGCAUAUAAACGAUUUUGUCAAGCACGGUGUGGGGACACAGUUUUGUACCAGCAGACAAGAACUACAAACUGGGCAAGAGAUUUUCAAUUCCAAAAACAACCACGAAAUUUGAAAAGAACUUCAUGAAAAGCGAGAGAUUUUAACUUUAGACACAAAAACACAGCAAUUUUGGACUAAGAGUAACGAUUUUUUAGCGAGAACAUAAAGAAAUAACAAUUAUAGAGUAUAAAGUCAAAUAAAAUAAAAAUAUAUGUAAACACAAAAAUCGUAAAACAAAAACAAUAAAACAUAAAAUUUAAUAAAAAACAAAAACAACAAA